rnacentral:tRNA from 4 species
GGAGGGUUGGCCGAGUGGCUUAAGGCGUCGGUUUGCUAAAUCGAUGGUGGUUUAACAGCCGCCACGUGGGUUCGAAUCCCACACCCUCCGCCA